rnacentral:antisense_RNA from 1 species
CUUGAUCGAGCCCAGCCACAGGGGCCGGUCGCCGGCCCGUUCCUGACCGUACGUGGCCAGCAGCGCCCCCGCCUC